CUUAACAAUUGGUAUCCCACAUGCAUUUCUACCAUAUUAUGUAGACUUUUCCAGCUCCGCACAAACUUCUUUUCCUUUCAAACCAGCGGUAAUUAAUCAUCUCAAAAGGAGAAUCGUGCACAGCUUCUACUUUUACUGUACACAGAUAACAAAAUGAAGGAACUACUUUUACAGGUCCUGAUUCCGAGAAGUGAAAUUUGGUGGCGUGAGAAGGAAAAACAACACAGAAAGAAGCAAACCUCACGAUGGCCAUUUGAACACAAUCGGAGCUUGUUUACUGCUGUGGACUUGGAACUUCCUCUGAAAAAAAAAUGCAUGCGAUUAGGAAAAUAACUAAGCAGCUAAGAAUAGUCCUCUGAAACCUGAGAGCCACCUCUCUUCUUUCUCACUCCUGGCAGUGCAGUUAGCAAGAAUAGGUGUGGCCGCAAGAAAUCUCAGAUGCAAAAGGACUCCCCUCUCUGCCCAAAAUGAAGGCGACCUCACCUUGCAACUCUUUUGAAAUGACGUUCCUCUCUGGUAAGGGACCCUUGGUAGGAAGUGUAUGGUUGAUUCCCUCACUCCCCACCAGAUUCACUCGUGCAGACAGCAGCAGGAUUUUUUGUACACGUUCUCAUCAUCACUUAAGUCUCCAAGAUUUAGAGUAUUUUGUUCAUCUGAACGUCUACCCAGUACAAACCUUGGGCAUCAAUAUUAACGUGGAGAACUCCCUCUUUGGUAGUCACAAGCCUAACGCACAUAAUCCUUUA